CAAUUGCUAAACAAACAGAUCCAGGUUACUUUUAUUUUAUUCACCCUAUUUUCUCAUUUUCCCCUAAAUAAUGCACUUAUUUCUGAGUUGGUUAAGCAUCAACUAGGAGAAAUAUUGUAAAUCUAAACAUAAAUUAUUUUUUUUAAACUACCUAGCAGGCAUGUGAACAAAUAAGCUAAUAAAAAUUGCAAUAGUGUCAUAAAGUAAGGCCAGUCAUGUGCUCUACUCUCAAUUUUAACAGUUCAGUUUGGGCUUAAAGAAUAAAAUGUAUGUUAUUUUUGAUGAAACCAACAUCUCUACCAUGUCUGAUUUGUGCCUGUUCCUGUUCAUGUCAAUGUUUGGUGCAGUAUAUGGGCCAAGUCGUUCUGGACAGUGCUGAUUUAGUAAACUCUGUUUUUUAAAAUGCAUGAUGAGGUUUAUUGUAAUAAACGCAAUUUGUUAUGGCAAUGGUAAUCCCAAGAACAGUAAAGUAUCUCCUCUCGGCAGACAUGUUUUUGUGCUCCUCCUGCUCAAACUACUGUUGUAUUCUGCUGCGCUGUAUGGUAAUAAAAUGUCCUGAUCUCUUUAUGAUAUGUUGAAGAGAGACUUCUAUUAGGAUAUGUUUAGUAAUAAUAAGCUUUAAACAUACAGCGCUGUUAUAGCCGUGGUCGUAUUUAGUGUUGUUUUUUUCUUUUUGUUCUGUGUUGGGUAUUUUCUUUUUGUAUCAAAGUGGGAGCUCUGUGUUUUUGUGGAUCUUUGUUUCUGUGUUUGUCUGAUUACUUUCAGGUUUGGUGCUUGACAGGGUGAGGCUUCCAUUGGACACAAGCUGAUGGCAGCAGCCCUAAAAAGCACCAUGUGGACCUUAAGCCGGCAAGAAGGGAGCUUUGCUGCAACCACUGCAGGACGAGCUGCCUGACACGGGGGUGGCAGGAUAAACCACUCGUCUGGGAGCCAGGGGGGAACGGGAGCGUCCAGAGAUGCAAUGGAGACAAUGUAAACUCACUGACAGUCAUGACACAAACUCCCCACACAACGUGCAGAUGAACCAGCGUAAAUUCGGGGUCAAACACCUGCCGGGGGUUCAGGUACCACAUGAAGGACUGGAUGAUCUUUGCUCCCUGAAAGAGAGAGAAACAAACCCAAGAACAAAAACAUAUUCUGAAAGCCAUGUUGAGCUCAAACUACCUGAUUUCCACCACUCUUUGGGUUGACGAACACCAGCAGAGGCUUCAUGAGCUGCGAGGGGAGGGGCUUCACUUGGAAGGGCUUCCAUCGUCCAUCUUGGAUCUGAAAGGCGGCAGAAGUUGGAGAAGUCUGCACUCACCGCCUGCUUGCACCAGGAGCAGCUGAUGGCCACAAUCUCUUUGCUGUGAAACGAGAACUUCUGC